rnacentral:rRNA from 1 species
GACAAGAAAUAACAAUACGAGGCUUAAAGUCUUGUAAUUGGAAUGACGGAAAUUUAAGCUCUUUCCGGAGUAUCAAUUGGAGGGCAAGUCUGGUGCCAGCAGCCGCGGUAAUUCCAGCUCCAAUAGCGUAUAUUAAACUUGUUGCAGUUAAAAAGCUCGUAGUUGAAUUUCUGCUGCAUCAUUUAUAUUCCUUAAUCGGUUUAUUUAUGUUGUGGCUUUUUCUGGUGAUUAUAUUUCGGUAUGAUUAUCCAGAUUGUUACUUUGAGAAAAUUAGAGUGCUUAAAGCAGGCAUUUGCCUUGAAUACUUUAGCAUGGAAUAACUAAGUAGGA